rnacentral:misc_RNA from 1 species
GGAAGGAUCAUUAUCAUGUGCAUCCGCCUUAUUCACUCAUCGCGAAUUGUUUUCAUUUAUUCAUUUUUAUUUUUUCACCUCUUUCACCGUCCUCAUUGCCUCUCUUCUGGUGAUAGGGUUAUAAUUGAUUUUAUCCCUCUAUUACUUGUUGAUCUAUAUAAAUUUAUUUUAUAUCGUAUCUAAAAAACACACCUAACCAAUAACUCCUGUCGAUGGAUGGCUAGGCUCUCGCAACGAUGAAGACCGCAGCGAAGUGCGAUAUCUAAUGCGAAUUGCAAAGCUCAGUGAAUCAUUCAGUUGUUGAACGCAAAUGGCGCUCUCGGGUUUAACCUGGGAGCACGCCUCUCUCAGUAUCGGUUCAUAUAUAACAUCAAUACCAAACAAUCAAUCGAUUGAUUGGGAUUGGACAAUGAGAGUCUGAGAGGAAUGAUUAUUCUUUAUUCAUUCCACUUAGUCUCUUCAAAUACAUGGAACUUCCCUAGUUAGAUUCUUCUCCUCCUAUUGCCACCUCUCACUCAAUCAUAUGAUUGGACUUCUCUCUUUUGAGAAGGAGUAGUCUCGGACCAAUAGGGAAAAAAACAUCCUAAUAGGCCAGAGUCGAUGAGAUUGGAUUGGAUCGAAUUGGAUCGAGUUGGAAGUAAGACGUAAUGAUGGAUCCAUUUGGAUCGUUCUCAGCACGUGUAACUUCUCUCUCCUUUUCUUCUCCCUUUCCUCUAUAUCUCUUCAACUUCUCCUCGUUAGUGUUUCUUUCUUUAUUGUCUAGGUCUACUUAAUCUCCCUUCUAUUGAUCGAAUGUGUUGGUGUGUGAUUGGUGUGAUUGGAAUUUGAUUCAAUUCAAUAACUAUUCGAAGUGUUUGAGGUAUGGUGCCCCCUCACCAUCAACCCUCUAUCGUCUCUCUCUAUUUCUAUAGAUCUAGACGAUUACAUAGGUUGACCCCUUUUUUCUAAACAUUUGAUCUGAGAUGAAGCGAGAUAACCCCCUGAAUUUAAGCAUAUUAAUAAGGGGAGGAAAAGAAAGUAAAAACGAUCCCUCUAGUAACGGCGAGUGAAGCAGGGAGAGCUCACUUUGAUAAUCGAGUCCCCCAACGGGUCCUCGAGUUGUGUGCUAUGGAGUAUGUAUCAGCUAUGACCUGGAUUGAAUUUCACUGGAACGUGAAUGCACAGAGGGUGACACACCCGUAUCUGAUCCAAGUGUUACAUAGCGUACGAUCAUGCUUCUUCGAGUCGAGUUGUUUGGGAUUGCAGCUCUAAAUGGGUCGUAUGCUUGACCUAAAGCUAAAUAAUGGCGAGAGACCGAUAGCGAACAAGUACCGUGAGGGAAAGCUGAAAAGGACCCCGGAAGGGGAGCGAAAAGUACCUGAAAUCGGCUGGAGGGAAGCGAUGGCAACCAGUGAGUUCGUUUAUUUUCAUCGCGUUUCAUACCACUAGUUUCGAGUGUUUGUGUGUAAACCAAACAUUAGGAACGAAAGGGAGGUGAAGCGUUUAGGAAGUAGACGGUGUCAAGAUCCAUUCGGAUGGGGGGAGAAGGGGGAAGGAAAGGUAGGAGAUCCGUCUCUGUUUAGUCCUUUCUCUCUACCUCUAUCUGGAUGGAGGUUAGUAAUAGUGCGCCGCUUGCGGCUUAGUCCCUUGCUUCUUCUGUAUUUUGCUGUUCUGAUCGCAAUGCUAUCUUGAUGGUAAAAUGCAGUACUAGGUAAGGUCGACUCUUUGUGCUAUCACGAUCUUGUACGAAAUGGUUGUCAUCGACCCGUCUUGAAACACGGACCAAGGAGUCUAACAUCUAUGCGAGUGUUUGGGUGAUUCAAACCCGAACGCGUAAUGAAAGUAAAGGUAGACUUGUUCUACUAUGGUAGGAAACCCGCAAGGGUAGCACUAUCGACCGAUCGUCACUUGUGAAAGAUUUGAGUAGGAGCAUAUCUGUUGGGACCCGAAAGAUGGUGAUCUAUGCCUGAACAGGGUGAAGCCACGUGAAAACGUGGUGGAGGCUCGUAGCGAUACUGACGUGCAAAUCGUUCGUCUGAUUUGGGUAUAGGGGCGAAAGACUAAUCGAACCAUCUAGUAGCUGGUUCCCUC